GAUGAACGCUGGCGGCGUGCCUAACACAUGCAAGCCGAACGGAGUCGUUUUGGAAAUCUCUUCGGAGAUGGAAUUCUCGACUUAGUGGCGGACGGGUGAGUAACGCGUGAGCAAUCUGCCUUUAAGAGGGGGAUAACAGUCGGAAACGGCUGCUAAUACCGCAUAAAGCAUUAAAUUCGCAUGUUUUUGAUGCCAAAGGAGCAAUCCGCUUUUAGAUGAGCUCGCGUCUGAUUAGCUAGUUGGCGGGGUAACGGCCCACCAAGGCGACGAUCAGUAGCCGGACUGAGAGGUUGAACGGCCACAUUGGGACUGAGACACGGCCCAGACUCCUACGGGAGGCAGCAGUGGGGAAUAUUGCGCAAUGGGGGAAACCCUGACGCAGCAACGCCGCGUGAUUGAAGAAGGCCUUCGGGUUGUAAAGAUCUUUAAUCAGGGACGAAACAAAUGACGGUACCUGAAGAAUAAGCUCCGGCUAACUACGUG
rnacentral:rRNA from 1 species